AAAAAAAAAAAAAAACUUUCGAGUAACGAGGAUACGUGAUUAUUUCAAUUAAAAUUUAAUAUUCUUGAAAUCAUCACAGGAGGACUCCUAUUCAAACCAGGAGGAAGUAACAUGCAACAUACGACGACUUUGUCCUUUCUUCUUCUAGUUUAUUCUCUUUAUUUAAAUCAAGCCAAUAAACUGAUUUAUUGCGGUAACGUCGUUGCCAAUUCUUCUAGACUCGUGGAAAUGGCCAGAAGCCAGGUGGACUAUAUACUUGGAAGCAACCCAUUGAACAUGUCGUACAUGGUGGGAUAUGGGCAAAAAUAUCCUCAGAGGAUACACCACCGGGGAUCGUCUCUGCCUUCCAUUGAUCAGAUUCCUGAACACAUAGAUUGCCAGGGCGGAAGUGCAUACUUCAACAGUGACAAACCUAAUCCCAACUUGCUAAUAGGGGCUGUUGUUGGAGGACCUGAUAUGGAGGAUUCCUAUGCUGACUCUAGAGCUGAUUUUGUACAUUCAGAGCCUACUACUUAUAUUAAUGCGCCUCUUGUUGGUCUCUUAGCUUAUUUCAGAUCCCAU
rnacentral:misc_RNA from 1 species